rnacentral:misc_RNA from 1 species
GAUGAAGAACGUAGUGAAAUGCGAUAAGUAAUGUGAAUUGCAGAAUUCAGUGAAUCAUCGAAUCUUUGAACGCACCUUGCGCCCUUUGGUAUUCCGAAGGGCAUGCCUGUUUGAGUGUCAUGAAACCUCACCCCACUUGGGUUUUUGCCUGAGCGGUGGUGUAUUGGGUGUUGCCUUGCUAAAGGCUCGCCUUAAAGACAUAAGCACCUUGGAUGUAAUACGUUUCAUCCUUCUGGGUGGCUGAUAACCCCACAUAUUCAUGAUCUGGCCUCAAAUCAGGUAGGGCUACCCGCUGAACUUAAGCAUAUCAAUAAGCGGAGGA